UACGGAGGGAGCUAGCGUUGUUCGGAAUUACUGGGCGUAAAGCGCACGUAGGCGGCUUUGUAAGUCAGAGGUGAAAGCCUGGAGCUCAACUCCAGAACUGCCUUUGAGACUGCAUCGCUUGAAUCCAGGAGAGGUGAGUGGAAUUCCGAGUGUAGAGGUGAAAUUCGUAGAUAUUAGGAAGAACACCGGUGGCGAAGGCGGCCCACUGGAUCGGUACUGACGCUGAGGUGCGAAAGCGUGGGGAGCAAACAGG
rnacentral:rRNA from 1 species